rnacentral:rRNA from 1 species
UACGUAGGGUGCAAGCGUUAAUCGGAAUUACUGGGCGUAAAGCGUGCGCAGGCGGUUAUGUAAGACAGGUGUGAAAUCCCCGGGCUUAACCUGGGAACUGCAUUUGUGACUGCAUAGCUAGAGUACGGUAGAGGGGGAUGGAAUUCCGCGUGUAGCAGUGAAAUGCGUAGAUAUGCGGAGGAACACCGACGGCGCAGGCAGCGUCCUGGCCGCUUGCUGACACUGAGGCACGAAAGCUGGGGGAGCAAACAGG